CACACACACACAUAAAAAAAAGGUUUUUACUCUGUGGAUAUGGGAUAAUGUGUUCAGAACAGAGAACACAGGAGAAGAAAACAGUGCGGUCACUGGCUCCGCCUUGAGGCGUCCUCUGUAACUGCAAUCAAAAAGUAGUAUGGCGUCCAAACUCUCUCAGAGACCAAACUCGGAUGUCAGCAGACAUCACAAGGACGAAAACUUUAUAACAAAUGCAUGGCGUAGUAUGACCGCAGCGUUCCAUCAGAUAUCAGAGAAUGAAGCGAGAGAUUCCAGCCAUCCUCAGUCAUUUCUCGGCCAACAGAGAAUGUCUGCUGCUCUCAGGAGGGUCCAGCUCUGCAAGGAUAAACCAAGAUAAAACGAUGAACUUUGUUCCAUAUUAGGAGUCCUAUACAGGGCAUUGGUUAGUUAGACACAAAGUCAUUGGCUCCACCUGCUGGACACUGAAUGCGUUUACAUGCACAAUUAUGCUAAUAGACUGUAGUCAUUAUACAUACACUUAGUAAAAUAUACAGAUAAAUAAUGUCAGAGAAUAACUUCACUCUCUAAACAAACCAAGUUUUUCCAGAUUGUGUAUUGUCCUCUGGUAUUAUUUGAUCAACAUAAAUCAUCACAUUUCAAUCUUCUGCAAAC